rnacentral:rRNA from 1 species
ACGGGGUGCAGCAGGCGCGAAACCUCCGCAAUGUGAGAAAUCGCGACGGGGGGAUCCCAAGUGCCAUUCUUAACGGGAUGGCUUUUCAUUAGUGUAAAAAGCUUUUGGAAUAAGAGCUGGGCAAGACCGGUGCCAGCCGCCGCGGUAACACCGGCAGCUCUAGUGGUAGCAAUUUUUAUUGGGCCUAAAGCGUCCGUAGCCGGUUUAAUAAGUCUCUGGUGAAAUCCUGUAGCUUAACUGUGGGAAUUGCUGGAGAUACUAUUAGACUUGAGACCGGGAGAGGUUAGAGGUACUCCCAGGG